AGAGCGAACGCUGGCGGCAUGCUUAACACAUGCAAGUCUCACGGGCAGCAAUGUCAGUGGCGGACGGGUGAGUAACGCGUAGGUAUCUAUCCAUGGGUGGGGGAUAACGUCGGGAAACUGACGCUAAUACCGCAUGACAUCUGAGGAUCAAAGGCGCGAGUCGCCUGUGGAGGAGCCUGCGUACGAUUAGCUAGUUGGUGGGGUAAAGGCCUACCAAGGCGACGAUCGUUAGCUGGUCUGAGAGGAUGAUCAGCCACACUGGGACUGAGACACGGCCCAGACUCCUACGGGAGGCAGCAGUGGGGAAUAUUGGACAAUGGGCGAAAGCCUGAUCCAGCAAUGCCGCGUGUGUGAAGAAGGUCUUCGGAUUGUAAAGCACUUUCGGCGGGGACGAUGAUGACGGUACCCGCAGAAGAAGCCCCGGCUAACUUCGCGCCAGCAGCCGCGGUAA
rnacentral:rRNA from 1 species